AUUUCUCAUCUGCAGUUGAUCUGAGAAAAAAUGUUUAUCCUGCCUCCUUGCUUGGUUUAUGUGAAAAAAGUGUAAUAAAAUAAUAUGGGUUAUUUUCGGAAAGAUUUUAUGUAAAAAAGAAAAAAAAAAUAUGGGCGAUUCCAGUAUUAAUUAUAAACCUUAUAUGAGAGAAUUAUUUCAGUGACAUAGCAAGAAUAAGUUAGUGUCUUUUUACUUUGUUAUUGAUUGUGUUAGACUAAGGAGUAGUGAUAGACAUUUAUAGAGAAUGACUUAACACUUCAGAAAGAUCACUUUGAUUAGAUGUCCUUUAGUAUUUGGUAUUCGGUUUAUAUUAUUAUACAAUCUUGUCCUCUUUUUUUAAGCAACCAGGUUUUCCUGUGACUGUGACAGUAGAGAGUCCUUCAUCCUCUGAAGUUGAAGAGGUUGAUGAUUCUUCAGAGAGUGUUCAUGAAGUGCCUGAGAAAACUAGUAUAGAACAAGAAGCAUUACAGGAAAAACUGGAGGAGUGCCUAAAGCAGUUAAAGGAAGAAAGAGUGAUAAGGCUUAAGGUUGAUAAACGAGUCAGUGAGCUGGAACAUGAAAAUGCCCAGUUAAGAAAUAUAAAUUUCUCUUUGUCUGAAGCCCUUCAUGCACAGUCAUUGACAAAUAUGAUCCUGGAUGA
rnacentral:lncRNA from 1 species